UACAGAGGGGGCAAGCGUUGCUCGGAAUUACUGGGCGUAAAGGGCGCGUAGGCGGGCUGGCAAGUCGGUCGUGAAAUCCCUCGGCUCAACUGAGGAUCGUCGAUCGAUACUGCCGUUCUUGAGGAUUGCAGAGGAGACUGGAAUUCCCGGUGUAGCGGUGAAAUGUGUAGAGAUCGGGAGGAACACCGGUGGCGAAGGCGGGUCUCUGGGCAAUUCCUGACGCUGAGGCGCGAAAGCGUGGGGAGCAAACGGG
rnacentral:rRNA from 1 species